CCCACCCCAGCCACCUCUUCACCUGCCCCAAUCACUCCUUCCGCAGGGCCAAGUCUCUAACUAAGGACAGCCCAUAUACCCCAGAGCCCACUAAAACCAGCCUACCCUGAGCCUGCCUGCUCUGCCUUGCCCACACCUUCCAGCAUGCGCCACAAUAAGGGCCCCCGCCCACAGGUCCAGCCUCUCUGGCGACCUCCCGACUCGCUCUGGAGCUCCCCUGUGUGCCCCCUCCCCACGUGGCACAGCAUGUCCUCUCCUCUUGGAAACCAGGAGUUUGAAAUUCUUGCUUCAGGCCAUAUGGAGUGGAUAUUCCUUCCAGAAGGAAAUUACAGACCACUCUCUGUUUCUACUCAACUGCUUUUCACUCCAGGAUGCUUCACCUCUUGGGGCCUUCCCCAGCAGAGGCCCAGGAUCACCUGCAAAAGGCUUCCCCAAGGGUGGGGCCAGAAGCAGGGCUGCAGAUAUGUGUCCUGAACCUCCCAUGGACCCUGCUGGCUCCCUUCAAAGGCUUCGGGCAUAGCGACUUGCCUUUCCGUCUUGUUCAGUCGUCACCAGUCAGCCGUCUGCAGACUUCUCUCCCUCACGUUGUGGCAGAGGAGUUGUACAUUCUCUAGAUUUUAAAAAUAUAUAAGUUACUUUUUCUUUAAAAUAAAAAUUGUCUCUGAAAUAAGCUCCCA
rnacentral:lncRNA from 10 species